UAUGAUGAUAUAUUUAACAAACUAAAAUAAAAAAAUAAUCGACAGAAAUUAAAUUUUAGAAAGAAAAGAGACGUUUUUUUUUAGACCAAGGAAAAAUUCUCACAAAAAAUUUUCCAAUCGAAAUUCAAUCGAUUCCAUUCGAAGAGAGGAAGAGGCAAGGAAGAAGCGAUUUCCUUCCUCCGUCCUUUGUCCUAAAGUAAUGGAAAAGAAAGCGCAGGUGGGAUAGCAGGCCAGAUCUCUUUUCGCUCUGCUCGAGAUCUCGUAUUAGAGAGCAUCCAUCCAUCCAUCCAUCCAUAGGAUUUUAUAGAAGCGUGGGAGAGAGGGACAGGUGGUUCGAGUUAUCCUUGUGUAUCCUGCGUUCUUCAGUAGCACCUUACCGUAUAUUUGAUAUUUCUGUUCCAUAUCCUACCUGAGCACACCUUGUGGGAAAGCUUCCUGAUGUUGAUUGAAACCGUGGAAACCGUGAUUGAUCUCGUAUCCGACUAGAAUAGGCGCCAUAAAAUUUACAUAGAUUCGACGAAUGUUUUAUGAACGGUUGAAGAAAAAGUAUAUCGAAUUGGCAAUUAUCUCUUCAAAAAUGAUUUUACGAACGCUAAAAAGAAGAAGUACCAACACUUACGUACUCUGUCGUUUCAUGAGUCAACUUAAUUUACGCUUCUCGCAUGAAAGUUUAAUUGCCUCUACUCUUUUCGCGAAACAGGGAAUUAUUCGAUCAAGCGGAGAAGCGUGAAGAGGAACCUGUGCCUUGCCAAUGUUUAAACUCGAGAUGAUUGUAGCUGUUUCUAAAAAUAAAUACGAUAUACACGUAUAUACGUUAGCGACCACUGAAUCCUGAAUGACGAAACUGAGUUCCGUUAUAAAUUCUUGGAAGAUACUGGCAUGUGACGUAAUUUUACUGAAUUAUCGUGCAACUUUUCGACGUGACUGCAGGAUAAGCAUUCUCCGCAUCAUCUUGUUGAAAAACCUGUCGUUAAACCUUCUCUAACGAAAAAUAAAAUUGUUCAUAAAAUGAAGUUACAUCAAGUGAUAUUAGGUUAGGAUAAUUUAAAAGGAAGAGAUGAAUCAUUUCUUUUUUGAGAUCAAAUCAUGUUAAUGAAGAAAAUAUUUCUAAAGAAAAAUUGGAGUGUGCUAGUAUUUUUAUUCAACAAUGUAAGUACAUAUAUCUUUCUAAGAAAAUAACCUCUUUGUCGCAACAUGUAAUUUACAAUCACAAAUAACAUAACCCAAAAAGUCAUAAUUUUAUUAUAGCGAUCAAAUUGAAAGAUAUUAUAUUGUAUUUAAAAUUUACAGAUUUGAACUUUCAUUGUAACUCAAAUUAUAUUCUCGAAUAAUAUUCGAAUUUAAAUUAUAGCUAAGUAUAGAUUUAUUUUUGUUCAGUAUUUAAUCUUUUUUAUCUUGUAAUAUAUACAGAAUGUUAAUGUAUUCGUGAGACAUUAAGUUAAAACUUUCUAUAAAAGAUUAUCAAAAAAAUAAAAGUUUGCUUAAAAUUUAAAAAAAAUGAAUCCAAAAUAUUAAUCAUUAAACUAUAUUUAAAAGUGAAAUCGAUAAUCAAACAAUGAGUAAUGGAUAAAAUGAUUUGAAUUUUCCAAGAUUAUGAAGAUUCGAAUUAUUUCGAAUAUAAUUCAAAGUCUAAAAAUUAAUUUUGCAAAACAUCUCAUAAUAACUUUCAAAAAUUCUAGAUUUCCAAUUAUACUCGAAAUGAUCUGAAUUUUUCGUCACAUUUAAAAGUGUUUCAAAUCCCAUCAUUGCAAAUGAUUAUAAUUAUUGUCAUUAAUAAUAAUAAUGAGCCCUUCGAGAGUCGGCAGAAAACUUGAGUCACCGAAGGCAGCCGAAGGUGAGCAUGCGUCGCAGGGCCAACCGAGUUUAGCCGAGACAAGGCGAAACGAACCGAACGAAUCAAACGAACCAAGCGAAGCGACGUGGAUACAAGAGCGUUGUUAGGUCAUUGACUGCCGGUGGCCACCGAUCCGCGAGUAUCCAAGGACAGCCGCUCCGACGCCUCGCGAUCUCUUUCUCUCUCUACCUAUUUUCCCGUUCUUCCGACCUCUCUUUCUUUGAUUCUCUUUUCCUUCUAUUCGUUCUUAUCAUCUCAUUUCAUUCUGUUCCGUUUAGAAAAAAGCUAUUGUUAACCUCUAAUUGCUGUUGAGGAUGAAUAUCGCAUGAUAUUAAAAAUUUGCAAUUGACUAAUGAUAUUAAAUAUCCCAGUAAUUUUUAAAAACUUAAUAAAUGAUGAAAAACACGUUCAAAACAUAAUCCUAUUCUUGAAUCAUAUUCAAGAAUAUAUAUUAUACCGUAUUAUUGGAAUAUUACUCAUAAUAUGACUUCAAAUAAAACUAAAUUACAGAAAUUCUGUCGUAAAAUUUUCAAGCGUAUAGUAAUCAGCUUCAGCCAAUAGAACAAGUUAAACAGAGUGAAAUUUGAUAUACAGGAACCUUUUCAGAAUUUAAAUAUUUCUUUUUACCUUUAACCUACGUUUACAAUUGUUCGAAGGUAAAAUAUAAUUCUUCUUCAAUGGCAUGAACCUUUUCAACUUGGAUGAUCAUUUGAUCCUAAUAAAAUAUGAUUGUGCAAUUUUUUUGCAAGAUAUCCAAUGGUAGCAAUAAUAAAUGAAGCUUUUCUAAAUGCUAACAGAAUAUAAAUGCACAGAAAUUUUUAUUUUUAAUGAGGUAUGAAAUUUUUAUAAUGCUCUUAAUUAUAUUAUUUAUUAUUAGGUUAUAUAAGAAUUAAAAUUGCUAUAUAUAUUUUUAUAUUUUUGAGUAUUAAAAUUAUAAAAUAUGAAUCGAUAUGUAAUAAAAAUACAAAAAAUGGGAAUCCAGAAUUGUCUUGAAAUUUUUAAUCAAAAAAAUAAAAAAAAUUAUUAAAAUGAAAUAUAGAAAUAAAAAUAUACUUAUUUGCAUAUCAAAAGGAAGAUGAUAAGGAUUUAUGAAAAAUAAUCAUGAAGAUCAUUAUUAAGAUAAUAUUAUGAACUUAAAUUCAUAUUAUUAAAUUUAAAUAAUAUUCUAUUAGAAAAACAAUAUUCUAUUAUUGAUAUUGAUUAUCGAUAUGAUAUAUGAUAACAAUUUUCAAUAGAUUUUCAAUAUUAAACGAAGAACCAUGAAUAAAAACAAUUACAAUUACGAAUGAAAUGAAUUUGUCCGAGAAAUGUGUGAAUUUACCGUAAUUGGACAUGAUCCAAUUGUUGUAAUAUAAAUGCAUACCUUUUUACUCAGGCCAUUCCCAAUGGAGAAUGAAUGCUUUAUAGCAAAAAUGUUUCUUCGUAAGCUAUGUUAAUCCAAUAUAAUGUUAAUGUAAGCCAAUUCGCGAAGGUCGACUUUGGCUAAGGAGAUUGGAAAACAUACUGGUCAUACUACUGCUACUCCUUUUGCUGCUUUCUAGCACUCUGUCCGCGGAGCAUCUACACAUACGAUGGCCUUGACCGUUUUCUCCGUGUGUGACACUACAGUUACACGCGCUUAUAUACAGGAUGAUGGAAAAAAAAAGAAUUAAUAAAACAUAAAGAUAGAUGAUUGCACACUAAAUAAAGAAAAACAUUUUGAUAUAACAUAGAUUGAAAAAUUAAUAUUUUUAAAGUUAUAAACAAUUGUGCAAGAAUUAUGUGAUUGAACUUAACCUAACUUAAUCUAUAUAUUUCGUAUAAAAAUGAUAAAAAUAUACAAAUUUAUAAACUUAUAAAAAUAUACAAAAAAAUGAUGUUUCUAAUUUUAUCUUAAAUAGAAUUAAUGAAAAUUCUUAAUAAUAAAUAAUAAUCGUUAACAAUCAUUAAAAAUUUUUCGAUCACUUUGUAGAAUGAUAUACAUGAGUAAGCGUCCAAUUGCAGGCUCACGAUCAAGAUCACCGUUGUCCCGAUAUACAAGUGAGAACCUUCAGUUUGUGUAAUUUUGCAUCAGAAUUUUGAUCGUUUGAAACGAAGAAAGUAAUGCAAGCAGAAAAUGACUCACUGCACAAGGCAAGUAAAAGGUUGGAGACCUGUGCAAGGUUUGUCCAAAUAAGACUAUAUUUUUCAUUAAAUGUAAAUGUGUUUUUCUAUCUUCAAUUUCUUAUUCGAUAAUAAAAAUAAUAAAUAAUUUUACAGCAAGAGAAAGACAGAUCUAUUUGAAACAAUUUUAGUGAUAAAAUUAUUGCUUUGAAUUGACUUAAAAAUUGAAAAAAAUAUUUAAUUGCAAAAAUAUAUAGAUAUUUCUACAUAAUAUACAAUAAUUAUUGAAUUGAUAAGUCUAUAUUUUUUUUGAUGCUAUCUUUUGCAUUAAAAUAUCAAAAAAAUUAUUAUAAAAUAUAUAAUUUUAUUAAUUUAUUUUUAUUUUAUUAAUUGUUUUAUUAUUAUAUAUUUAUUGUUAUAUUAUUGCAAUAAUUGUUUUCUAUUAAAAUCUUAUCAAUCAAUAGAAAAUAGAAUUAGGUAAGAUAUAAUUUUAUUAAUAUUUGAAUAAUUAUGAAUAAUUAUGAAUAAUUAUGAUUAAUGUAAGAUUAUGCUAUUAAUCAUAACUAUUUACUAUUAAUAACCAAUAAUUAAUAAUCAUUAAUGAAAAGAAAUAAUUUUAAUCGUAUAGCCAAAAAUCAUAAUUAAUUCAACAAUUGUAAUAUAUAUAAUUGUUCUGUUGAUUAUGAUUGAAUUAACAAUAUAUUUUUUAUAAUAACAAUGUAUUUCUUUAAAAAUUCUAUAUUACUGACUUAAAUUUGUUAGAGGCAAGUAACGUGUUCCCGAAAGGAAGGUCAAUGUUAGCAUCGCUAGCAGACGGAAGUGUUUCACCUUGCAGCGAAAGCCGGUGCAGGUCCUCGAGGAAUGCGUGGUUUGUGUUCGCUAUUGCGACGCGGUACGGAAUGCGAAAUGCAUUUCGAGGUGUGGCAUGAGGAGCAAAUGUAUCACUCACAUGCAUGGUUUGGAUCGAGCCACCUAGAUUUACUAACUAAAUUUGUUUUUUUUCCAUUUUUUCAGAAUGGUUUCCCAUGUUUCAGAAAAAUAUACUAAGAAAAAAGAAUUAGAGAAAAAAUAAAAAAGAAACGAAUAUUGUUAAUUCCAUUUUGAAAAUAUUAAAUAUUCAUUUUUUCUUCAUAGAUAUUUUUUAUAAAAAAAACAAUAAAAAAUUUAUGUAUAUUUAAAUAAGAAAUAAAAAAAAUACAAAUUAAUUGAAUAUAAUGUAAAAAGUAAAAAUUGUAGACUUUUAAUUCGCAAAUUCUUUUUGUUUUAUACUUUCAAUGAUAUGAAUAAUUUGAUAAAUUGCUAUAUAAUCGUAUAACUAAAAGUAAUGACUAC